AUUGAACGCUGGCGGCAUGCCUUACACAUGCAAGUCGAACGGCAGCACGGGAGCAAUCCUGGUGGCGAGUGGCGAACGGGUGAGUAAUAUAUCGGAACGUGCCCGGUCGUGGGGGAUAACGUAGCGAAAGCUACGCUAAUACCGCAUACGAUCUACGGAUGAAAGCGGGGGGAUCGCAAGACCUCGCGCGAUUGGAGCGGCCGAUAUCAGAUUAGGUAGUUGGUGAGGUAAAGGGCUCACCAAGCCGACGAUCUGUAGCUGGUCUGAGAGGACGACCAGCCACACUGGGACUGAGACACGGCCCAGACUCCUACGGGAGGCAGCAGUGGGGAAUUUUGGGAC
rnacentral:rRNA from 1 species